ensembl:snoRNA SNORD39 Small nucleolar RNA SNORD55/SNORD39
CGUGUAUGAUGACACCUCGGUAAUGCUGCAAACUCCCGACUGCUCUGAGGAGAAUCGAACCUUGGAGAGCUGAACGAAGG